UAAAGUAAUGCAAGAAUAUAAGUACUAAGAAUAUUGUGUUAGAGGACGAAGGAUGAAGAAGAAGAACGGAUGGAUAGAUGAGGCGCAGUGUGUGUAAGAAGCAGUGAUGGUUGUGACGGCUAUGGAUAAGAGGCGAACGGAUGGACUUGUAUGGGCGUGGGAAGGGGAGGAAGGAACAGCGGAAAGGUGAAGGAGAUAGCAGAAGGAAUGAGGGUAAGGAAUAGAUAUAGCAAGCAGGACUGAGGUAGGUAGGGUAAGUGAUUAUGGAAAGGUUGGGAAUACUAUGAAUGGCAAGGGGAACUAUGAGAACAUGCUAAGUGAAUGGGAGGAAAGAAGGUGGAAAAGUGAAGGGGAUAGUAGAGAAAGAAAUGAGGGUAAGGAAUAGAUAUAGCAAGCAGGACUGAGGUAGUAGUAGGUGAGCAGGGAAAGGUUGGAAAUACUGACCACUGAGAAUAUGCUAAGAGAAGGGAGGAAAGAAUGGUGAUAAGGUGAAGGGGAUUGAAGAAUGAACGACGGCAAAGAAAUAUAUAUGGCAAGAAGGACUGAGGUAGAAGUGGAUGAGACGGGAAAAGCUGAGAAUACUAUGAAUGACAAGAGGAACUAUGAUAACAUGCUAAGAUAUGAGAUAGUGGGUGAAGAAAAGAAAGAAUGGGAUGGAAAAUAUGGGUAAGGAAUAGAUAUGUGGCUAGCAGGAGGAUUGUGGAAGUAGUGGGUGAGCAGGGAAAGGUUGGGAAUACUGAUGAAUGGCAAGGGGAACUAUGAUAACAUGCUAAGAUAUGAGAUAGUGGGUGAAGAAAAGAAAGAAUAGGAUGGAUAUAGAGGAUGCAUGAAUAAAUUUAAACGUAGAAAAGGAUGCAAGGUUUGAAUAGAAUGAAACAGAUGGGUGAACAAAUGAAAAGAUAUAAAUUAAUGGAAAGUUUAAAAAGUGUAGCAUGGAGUGGUAAGUAAAGAUGGUUAGUUAGCAUGAAGUGGAAGAAGUACAGGCAUUGAAAGAAUUACAGGACAAAUAGAUGAGUAUGGGGAAGAGAAAGAGCUAUCAAAUCAGUAGGAGAGGGGGAGAAAAAAUAAAUAAAGGUUCUGUUUUGGAAUAUCAGGGAAGGGGAAGUGUGAAGAAAUGAAGGCGUGAGAGGGCAGAAAAUAAGUCAAAAUCAUUAUAUUAAGUUUUGGAACAGAAGAAGGGAAUCAAAACAGCAAAUGGGGGUUAAGAAGUUAUGAGACAGCAGAGGGGAAUGCAGACACCAAAGGAAAAUUAGAUAGCCGACGAGAAUUUCCGUAAAGUUAAGGAACAGCAUGUGAGAAUUCAAGAAAAGAAUGGAAUUAAAGUUUUGUAGAAAGAGAGGGCAUUCAAAAUGGCAAUGAAAAUAUAAAAAAAUAGCAAAGGGGGAAUUAAAAAGCUUGGGAACAGUAAAGUGAAUUGAAACAGAUGAAAAUUAAAACACGAGAGGAAAAUUUGUUCAGUGUUUUUGAUAGUGUCUGUAAUAGAAGAAAGCUGAAAGUAAAUGUCAACAAAAGUAAAGUGAUGGUUUGUGAGCGAAGUCGAAGUGAGGUUGUAGAUUUUGUAUGCUCAUAUAGAGUGGGAAUUGAAAGUGAAAAAGAAUGCAAAAUAAUUUUGAAUGGUGAAGAAAUGGAGGAGGUCAAUGAGCUUAAGAACCUUGGAUCAGUUAUGUGUAAGCAUGGUGGUAUGGAAGGAGAGAUAAGAGAAAGGGCAUUGCAAGGAAGAAGGGUGGUCGGGUCUUUGGGACGAAUAAUGAAUGGCAGAAGUGUGAGCAUGGAGGUAAAGAGGGAUUUGAGAAAUACAAUAAUAGUACCAACCCUCACAUAUGCAAGUGAAACAUGGCCCUGGAAUGAAAGUCAGAGGUCUAGAGUGCAGGCAGUGGAAAUGAGUUAUUUGAGGAGUGCUUGUGGUGUGAGUAGAAUGGAUGGAAUGAGUAAUGAAAGUGUGUACGAGCAUUUUGGAAUGUGUCACGGGGGUGAAGGGAAGAAGUGUGGAGCAGUGGAAGAAAUGAAGCAACAGACUUUAAAGUGGUUUGGCUACAUGGAGUGAAUGGAGGAGAGUAAGAUGACCAGAAGGGCAUAUGUGAGUGAGAUAGAGGGAGGGAAUGCCAGAGGACGACCUCCAGUGAAAUGGAGGGAUAGGGUACAAGAGUACGUUAGGGAGAGGGGGGAAAAAUCUUUGAGAAACUUUGAGCAGGCAAGGAGGGAGUGUCUGGAUAAAGAUGGAAGCUCUUCUGCCGUGGCCAUCCCCUGGUGGGAGCUCCUAGGAGCAGGCGUUGAUGAAAUGAUGAUGAUGAUGAUGAUGAUGAGAGGAAUUAAAGCAGGAAAGGGGUAUGGAAAAUUUGGGGAACGGCAAAGUAGAAUGGACAGAAAGGGACAAAAGGGAAGAUAGAUGGAAAGAUAAGCAGAAAAAAAUUAACACAAGGGAAGACAGAUGAAAAGAUAAGCAGGAAAAAGGAAAACAAGGGAAGAUUUUUUUUUUUUUUUUCUUUUUACAGCAAAGGAGUCUGUUCAAGGGCAUAAAAAAAGGAAACAAAUAUGAAGAAAAAAAAAAGUGGGAAGACAAAUGAAAGAGAUUAGCAGAUUGUGAUGCCGAACUUCCUCAGUGUUGCCAAUAUAUCUAACCCUGAAGUCACAUAUGAGCUGUGUGUGUGUAUGUGAGAUAUCAUAACAACCAUUAAAUAAAAAAGAAAAGAAAAGGACAGAAAAAACAUGCAUACUGGACCAGUGAUAGAACUAACCUAUCCUGCUUUUCAUAGGUCACUCAACAGGGAAAGCAAAAAAUAGUAGUUGGAUGAAUUUGGGUAGAAAAAUGAUGGAAAAUUAUCUCGGAAAAAAAAAUAAUAAUAAUCUGGAAAUAAAAAGAUGAGAAAUAGGGGAGAAAAUGAACACUUGCAAAAUAGAGAAAUGAUUGUUGUGUUACUGUAUAAAAGUAGUAAGAUCCGAUUGUAACAGUUAUAGGGGAAGAAGCUUACUCAGUGCACCGGGAAAUGUAUAAGGAAGUGUUUUGAAUGAGAGGAUGAAAAUAACUGAUAAAAAUGUUUGUUACAAGGAUGAGGGGAUGAAUGAGAUACAGAGGAGGCAUUUCAAACCAGAGAUGACUGUGUGCGUGUGUGUGUGUGUGUG